UACGGAGGGAACUAGCGUUGUUCGGAUUUACUGGGCGUAAAGAGCGUGUAGGCGGCCAGGUAGGUCUGCUGUGAAAACUCGAGGCUUAACCUCGAGCUGUCGGCGGAAACCAUCUGGCUAGAGUCCGGAAGAGGAGAAUGGAAUUCCCGGUGUAGCGGUGAAAUGCGCAGAUAUCGGGAAGAACACCCGUGGCGAAGGCGGUUCUCUGGGACGGUACUGACGCUGAGACGCGAAAGCGUGGGGAGCGAACAGG
rnacentral:rRNA from 1 species